UGCAGUCGAGCGGCAGCGGGAAAGUAGCUUGCUACUUUUGCCGGCGAGCGGCGGACGGGUGAGUAAUGCCUGGGGAUCUGCCCAGUCGAGGGGGAUAACUACUGGAAACGGUAGCUAAUACCGCAUACGCCCUACGGGGGAAAGCAGGGGACCUUCGGGCCUUGCGCGAUUGGAUGAACCCAGGUGGGAUUAGCUAGUUGGUGAGGUAACGGCUCACCAAGGCGACGAUCCCCAGCUGGUCCGAGAGGAUGAUCAGCCACACUGGAACUGAGACACGGUCCAGACUCCUACGGGAGGCAGCAGUGGGGAAUAUUGCACAAUGGGGGAAACCCUGAUGCAGCCAUGCCGCGUGUGUGAAGAAGGCCUUCGGGUUGUAAAGCACUUUCCGAGGAGGAAAGGUCAGUAGCUAAUAUCUGCUGGCUGUGACGUUACUCGCAGAAGAAGCACCGGCUAACUCCGUGCCA
rnacentral:rRNA from 1 species